GACGAACGCUGGCGGCGUGCUUAACACAUGCAAGUCGAACGGAAAGGCCCUGCUUGCAGGGUACUCGAGUGGCGAACGGGUGAGUAACACGUGGGUGAUCUGCCCUGCACUUCGGGAUAAGCCUGGGAAACUGGGUCUAUUACCGGAUAGGAGCCAUUUUUAGUGUGAUGGUUGGAAAGUUUUUUCGGUGUAGGAUGAGCUCGCGGCCUAUCAGCUUGUUGGUGGGGUAAUGGCCUACCAAGGCGGCGACGGGUAGCCGGCCUGAGAGGGUGGACGGCCACAUUGGGACUGAGAUACGGCCCAGACUCCUACGGGAGGCAGCAGUGGGGAAUAUUGCACAAUGGGCGCAAGCCUGAUGCAGCGACGCCGCGUGGGGGAUGACGGCCUUCGGGUUGUAAACUCCUUUCGCUAGGGACGAAGCUUUUUGUGACGGUACCUAGAUAAGAAGCACCGGCUAACUACGUG
rnacentral:rRNA from 1 species